GAUGAACGCUGGCGGCGUGCCUAAUACAUGCAAGUCGAGCGAACAGACGAGGAGCUUGCUCCUCUGACGUUAGCGGCGGACGGGUGAGUAACACGUGGAUAACCUACCUAUAAGACUGGGAUAACUUCGGGAAACCGGAGCUAAUACCGGAUAAUAUAUUGAACCGCAUGGUUCAAUAGUGAAAGACGGUUUUGCUGUCACUUAUAGAUGGAUCCGCGCCGCAUUAGCUAGUUGGUAAGGUAACGGCUUACCAAGGCAACGAUGCGUAGCCGACCUGAGAGGGUGAUCGGCCACACUGGAACUGAGACACGGUCCAGACUCCUACGGGAGGCAGCAGUAGGGAAUCUUCCGCAAUGGGCGAAAGCCUGACGGAGCAACGCCGCGUGAGUGAUGAAGGUCCUCGGAUCGUAAAACUCUGUUAUUAGGGAAGAACAAAUGUGUAAGUAACUAUGCACGUCUUGACGGUACCUAACCAGAAAGCCACGGCUAACUACGUG
rnacentral:rRNA from 1 species